rnacentral:rRNA from 1 species
CCUACGGGUGGCAGCAGUGGGGAAUAUUGCACAAUGGGGGAAACCCUGAUGCAGCGACGCCGCGUGAGUGAAGAAGUAACUCGUUAUGUAAAGCUCUAUCAGCAGGGAAGCAAAUGACGGUACCUGAGUAAGAAGCCCCGGCUAACUACGUGCCAGCAGCCGCGGGAAUACGUAGGGGGCCAGCGUUAUCCGGAUUUACUGGGGGUAAAGGGGGGGUAGGCGGCUGUGCAGGUCUGGAGUGAAAGGCGGGGGCUCAACCCCCGGCCUGCUCGGGAAACUGUACGGCUGGAGUGCGGGAGAGGUAAGUGGAAUGCGUAGUGUAGCGGUGAAAUGCAUAGAUAUUAGGAAGAACACCGGUGGCGAAGGCAGCUUACUGGACUGUAACUGACGUUGAGGCUCGAAAGCGUGGGGAGCGAACAGGAUUAGAUACCCUUGUAGUC